rnacentral:rRNA from 1 species
UUGUGCUAAGGUAGCAUAAUCAUUUGUCUUUUAAAUAAAGACCAGAACAAAAGAUUUAACAUCUUAAUAUAAUUAAAAAUUUAAAAUUAAAAAUUUUCUUAAAUGUAAAAAGACAUUUAUAAUAAAGAAAGACGACAAGACCCUUUUAAACUUAACUAAAGUUAAACUGGGGUAGUAAAUAAAUUAUAACUUUUAUUAAAUUAUUUUAAAAUAACCAUAAAAUUGAUUUAAACAAGUUACUAAAGGGAUAACAGCGUAAUUAAUUUUUAGAGAUCUAAUCUAAAUAAUAGUUUACGACCUCGAUGUUGAAUUAAUAACCUAAAUAAAGCAAAUUUUAAAUAAGGAAGUCUGUUCGACUUAUAAUAAAUUACAUGAUUUGAGUUCAGACCGGUGCAAACCAGGUCGGUUUCCAUCUUCUAAAAAUAAUUUUAUAGUACGAAAGGGCCUAAAAAUAUAAUAUUAUUAAUAAUAUAGCAAACAAUUGCAUUAGAAUUAGAAUCUAAAAAACUUCUA